UGGACACCUUUUAAUAUAGUAACAAGGAAAACCCAGCUGAGCCCAAACUCCAUGGUGAGUGGUCUGUGUUCUGCCCUUAGCAUGGAAUGGGAACACCUGAGAAUCUAGGCUGAGAUCCUGUCC